CAGCCGCCGCGGGAAUACGUAGGUGGCGAGCGUUGUCCGGAAUCAUUGGGCGUAAAGGGAGCGCAGGCGGGCAUGUAAGUCUUUCUUAAAAGUGCGGGGCUCAACCCCGUGAUGGGAAGGAAACUAUGUGUCUUGAGUACAGGAGAGGGAAGCGGAAUUCCCAGUGUAGCGGUGAAAUGCGUAGAUAUUGGGAGGAACACCAGUGGCGAAGGCGGCUUUCUGGACUGCAACUGACGCUGAGGCUCGAAAGCCAGGGGAGCGAACAGGAUUAGAUACCCCCGUAGUCCCUGUCUCUUAUACA
rnacentral:rRNA from 1 species